rnacentral:lncRNA from 1 species
AAAAUAUCUUUGAAAGCAAAACAGGCCACAAUAAAAGAAAUAAUAAGACUAAAGUCUGUCCCAGCACUAUUGCUGAGUAGGAAGGGAAAAGAGUUGUUAUAGCAACAGGUGAAGGAGGUAUUUUAUAACAAGUGCAAACACCUGAACCUUGGAAAGCCAAUGUGGUUCUAACUAUGAGAAAGUCUAAAUAGCAACUUUCAGGCUUUCAUCUGCUUGCUUUGCUUGCAUUUCAAACUGACCAAAGCUGACUGUAUUAUUACAGUCAUGUUCCUAACUGCACAGGACCUGUUGAGGAGCCAAGAGUAUAUCAGCCCAGCUGUAUGGACUGCUUUAAUUGAGCCACAUGGUUCUCAGUUGUUUACACAACCUUCUGGAGCACUUGUGGACCAAGCUUGUAUCUGCCCACAAGAGAGCAAGGAGAGGAUUCACACCAGUCCAUUCACUCUGUGCCACUCCACGUGGCUGUUCCUCCCCGUUCAUGAGAAGUUGCUGCAAAUGAGCCAGUGCCCUCUUCCAUUCCCCCAGGAUGUUGUAGAGAAGAAAAGCCCACACACAGGUAGGAUGGCUGUGACAUACAGCUCCAUGAUGUGCUGCUUCUGGAAAAGGGGAUGGGGAAU